CAGGCUAAGUCUGACGUCACAGACAUGGGUGGAGCUUAUACCGACUCCAAACAAUUUCGUUGAAAACGGUAAAUCCACAUAAGGAAUUUUUCAUUUAGUGUUUCUGUGGUUUAUACGAAAAAAUAAGACUAUUCAGUUGGACAAAUUGUGGAAAGAACGUCCCUUUUAAGUGAUUUUUUGUUGUUUUUGCCCAGGCUUAGGACUGCAUCAGAAUGGGCAUGUGCUUUGUUCCGGGCUGUAAACAUUACAGUUCAAAGCAUCCAUGUAAGUUUUUUCGGUUCCCAAAAAACAAGACCGAGAAGAAUAGAUGGAUUUCUCUUAUAAG